GCUAAGAAGUAUGAUGCUUUUCUUGCCUCCGACUCCUUGAUUAAGCAGAUUCCUAAGAUCUGUGGUCCAGGAUUUAACAGAGUUGGAAAAUUUCCCACCCAAGUAUCUCAUCAAGAGUCACUUGUACAGAAAGUGGAGGAAGUAAAGGGCACCAUCAAGUUUCAGCUUAAAAAGGUUUUGUGCUUGGCUACAUGUGUUGGACACGUGAACAUGACUAAGGAAGAGUUGUAUGGAAACAUCACCCUGGCCAUUAACUUCCUGGUCUCCCUGCUGAAAAAGAACUGGCAAAAUGUCAGAGCUCUGUACAUCAAGGGAACCAUGACUCCAGCCCAGAGAGUCUACUGAGCUUGUAUAUGGCAAUUAAAUGAUUUGAAAAUAUUC
rnacentral:misc_RNA from 1 species